AAACAGUCAGCAAGAAAACAGUCAACAAGAAAACAGUCAACAAGAAAAUGCUGCUCCCCCGUGUCGUUCAGGAGCCCAAACAAAGUUAGCGUGCUACAAUAUCGGACAGUAGAAACCAACCAGAAAGUUCGGAAAAUUGUCUGAAUCCUCCUUUGGCCACGACUGCCGACACAAGCAAGAAAACACUCAAACAUAAACAGUCAGCAAGAAAACAGUCAACAAGAAAACAGUCAACAAGAUAACAGUCAACAAGAAAACAGUCAACAAGUAAACAGUCAGCAAGAAAACAGUCAACAUCAAAACAGUCCUCCAUAAACAGUCAACAAGAAAACAGUCAACAAGAAAACAGUCAGCAAGAAAACAGUCAACAUCAAAACAGUCAACCAUAAACAGUCAACACCAAAACAGUCAGCAAGAAAACAGUCAACCAUAAACAGUCAGCAAGAAAACAGUCAACCAUAAACAGUCAGCAAGAAAACAGUCAACAAGAAAACAGUCAGCAAGAAAACAGUCAGCAAGAAAACAGUCAACAUCAAAACAGUCAACAAGAAAACAGUCAGCAAGAAAACAGUCAACAUCAAAACAGUCAACCAUAAACAGUCAACAAGAAAACAGUCAGCAAGAAAACAGUCAGCAAGAAAACAGUCAACCAUAAACAGUCAGCAAGAAAACAUUUAACAAGAAAACAGUCAGCAAGAAAACAGUCAACAAGAAAACAGUCAGCAAGAAAACAGUCAACACCAAACCGGUCAACAUCAAAACAGUCAACCAUAAACAGUCAACACCAAAACAGUCAGCAAGAAAACAGUCAACAAGAAAACAGUCAACCAUAAACAGUCAGCAAGAAAACAGUCAACAAGAAAACAGUCAACAAGAAAAUGCUGCUCCCCCGUGUCGUUCAGGAGCCCAAACAAAGUUAGCGUGCUACAAUAUCGGACAGUAGAAACCAACCAGAAAGUUCGGAAAAUUGUCUGAAUCCUCCUUUGGCCACGACUGCCGACACAAGCAAGAAAACAAAGUAAAUACCGGAGACUCUGGAGGAAUAACGGGCACUUAAAACGGAGGUAGACCGGACAAGAGCUAAAAAGCCGGGUCAACAUAAAUGAUGGGGGACGCUUGGGGAUCUUGGUGACCCUGUAACCUUUCUGCUGGACAGGUAAACCGCUUUAACAAAGUAAGACAAGUGUCUGUAACAGAAGUGUUUCUUGUCAAACGGACCUGCUGUAGCGUGUUGUAGCGCCAUCGCUAAACUGUCCUCCCUCGGGUCCUGGACUAUGUCACUUUAUCCUCGUUGUAGAAGUCCUGCAAACAUUGUGUUUGCUGGUAGUCUGUUGGCAUCUACAGUAGCACCAAUGCUUUUGACUUUCACCUUGACUGGGCCCCAUUUGUAAUGAUCUGAAGUAUUUAUCUGCAUUAUAUCUGAAUUUAACUGGAACGAUACGAGCGAGCAGGAGCGUCUGUUUGUGGGCGGGGCUUGAGGGGAGAGGAGGAGCUGAGGGGAAAACUGGUUGGGAGGGGUAGAGUUUACAUUCAAGA